rnacentral:rRNA from 1 species
GAUGAACGCUGGCGGCGUGCCUAAUACAUGCAAGUCGAGCGAACAGACGAGGAGCUUGCUCCUCUGACGUUAGCGGCGGACGGGUGAGUAACACGUGGAUAACCUACCUAUAGGACUGGGAUAACUUCGGGAAACCGGAGCUAAUACCGGAUAAUAUAUUGAACCGCAGGGUUCAAUAGUGAAAGACGGUUUUGCUGGCACGUAUAGAGGGAUCCGCGCCGCAUUAGCUAGUUGGUAAGGUAACGGGUUAUCAAGGGAAGGAUGCGUAGCCGACCUGAGAGGGUGAUCGGCGACCCUGGAGCUGAGACACGGUCCAGAGUCCUACGGGAGGCAGCAGUCGGGAAUCUUCGGCAGUGGGCGAGAGCAUGACGGAGCAACGCCGCGUGAGUGAUGACGGUCUUCGGUUCGUAAAACUCUGUUAUUAGGGAAGAACAAAUGUGUAAGUAACUAUGCACGUCUUGACGGUACCUAAUCAGAAAGCCCCGGCUAACUACGUG